rnacentral:rRNA from 1 species
UGGAGCACGUGGAAUUCCGUGUGAAUCAGCGAGGACCACCUCGUAAGGCUAAAUAUUCCUGAAUGACCGAUAGUGAAAUAGUACCGUGAGGGAAAGGUGAAAAGAACCCCGGGAGGGGAGUGAAAAGAACAUGAAACCAUAAACUUACAAUCAGUAGGAGGACGACUCAAACGUCUGACUGCGUGCCUGUUGAAGAAUGAGCCGGCGACUUAUAGGUAGUGGCAGGUUAAAGCAGAGAAUGCUGGAGCCAUAGUGAAAGCGAGCCUGAAUAGGGCGUUUGUCACUGGUUAUAGACCCGAACCCGGAUGAUCUAACCAUGGCCAGGUUGAAGCUUGGGUGAUACCAAGUGGAGGACCGAACCGACUGAUGUUGAAAAAUCAGCGGAUGAGUUGUGGUUAGGGGUGAAAUGCCAAUCGAAUUCGGAGCUAGCUGGUUCUCCCCGAAAUGCGUUUUGGCGCAGCGGUAAAUCUUAUAGUCUAGGGGUAAAGCACUGUUACGUAUGCGGGCUGGUAAUUCGGUACCAAAUCGUUGCAAACUAAGAAUACUAGAUGGACAAUUUGCCAGUGAGACUGUGGGGGAUAAGCUCCAUUGUCAAGAGGGAAACAGCCCAGAGCACCAGUUAAGGCCCCUAAAUAAUUGCUAAGUGAUAAAGGAGGUGGGAGUGCAUAGACAAUCAGGAGGUUUGCUUAGAAGCAGCAAUCCUUUAAAGAGUGCGUAAUAGCUCACUGAUCGAGUAAACCUGCGCCGAAAAUGUACGGGACUAAGUAAUUUGCCGAAACUGUGCGAUAUAGAAAAUAUAUCGGUAGGGGAGCGUUCUGUUGUAGGUCGAAGUAUUAGCGAAAGCGGAUAUGGACGAAGCAGAAGUGAGAAUGUCGGCUUGAGUAACGAAAAUAUAGGUGAGAAUCCUAUACCCCGAAAACCCAAGGUUUCCUCCGGAAGGCUCGUCCGCGGAGGGUAAGUCAGGACCUAAGGCGAGGCUGAAAAGCGUAGUCGAUGGACAACGGGUUAAUAUUCCCGUACCAUUUUUUGUUGAUAUCGAGGGACGGAGAAGGCUAAACUGGCCGGAUAAUGGUUUUACCGGUUUAAACGUUCGAGAUGAUGAGAAACGGAGAAAACGUUUUGAGUUGAGGCGUGAGUACGAGAUGCUACGGCAUUGAAGCAGUCUAUGUCAUACUUCCAAGAAAAGCUCGCAAUGUCAUAAACAAAAAAUGCCUGUACCAUAACCGACACAGGUGGGUAGGUAGAGUAUACUAAGGGGCGCGAGAUAACUCUCUCUAAGGAACUCGGCAAAAUGACUCCGUAACUUCGGGAGAAGGAGUGCCUUAUUUAUAAGGUUGCAAUAACAAGAUCCAAGCAACUGUUUAUCAAAAACACAGGUCUCCGCUAAGUCGUAAGACGAUGUAUGGGGGCUGACGCCUGCCCAGUGCCAGAAGGUUAAAGAAGUUGGUUAGCCUAGCGAAGCUGAUGACUGAAGCCCUGGUGAACGGCGGCCGUAACUAUAACGGUCCUAAGGUAGCGAAAUUCCUUGUCGGGUAAGUUCCGACCCGCACGAAAGGCGUAAUGAUUUGGAUACUGUCUCGGAGAGGGGCUCGGUGAAAUAGACUUGUCUGUG